rnacentral:lncRNA from 1 species
GUGAGAUAUCACAGCUCUUCGAAAACAUUCAACAACGACAUUGAAUCAGUGACUUACAAAGAUAUAUUUCUAAUGAUUUUUCAUAAGCACAACCUUGCAAUAAUUUAUUUGUUGGUUUGCUAUAGCUUUUCAAAGGUUUAAAAGAUGGCGCUCUUUAAGAAGUUUCUCCAGAAAAUUUGUAAUGAUGACGGCAGCAAGGAUUUUAAAGAUGGUUCUGCGAAGUUUGGAACAGUCAAGGCUGAUCCCAAUUUUAAUGCCCAAAAUGAUGCUGCAAAACUGAAGAAAUGUGUGUGUGUGUGUGUGUGUGUGUGUGUGUGUGUGUGUGUGUGUGUGUGUGUGUGUGUGUGUGUGUGUGUGUGUGUGCUUUUAGGGGUUGAACCAAAAUUUCUGUAUGGUUUUUUCAGAUUUUUUCUAUGGUUUUUUUCUCACCAGUGUAGCCAUCAAGAUAAAUGCAACAUUAACACGUAAAAUGCUCUCAUGAUCCUGAUACCAAUGUCAGAAUUAUUAUAGGGAUGUCUUUUUUGAAUGUGUUUCAAUAAAAGAUAGAAAAACAGUGUUCAUUUUCAGCUAGAUAUAAUAAUUUAUGUGUGUUUUUUUAAGUGUUGUCAUGUUUCUUAGUAAAGAUGUGGAGGACACACCCCUGCAGUACUUUCCUUGAAAACACUCCUAGAAAUACAGUAUGUCAUAGUUGAAAAGCAGAGACACUAAUUCAUGAGUACUAGAACAAAAUGACCAGUAACAUGAUAAUGUUACUGAAAUUAAGGAAUGAUUUUGUAUUUUCAAUAGUGCUGUCAAAUCGAUUAAUCAUAUCCAAAAUAAAAGUUUGUGUUUACAUAAUAUAUGUGUAUUUAUUAUGUACAUAAAUACACAGACAUGCAUAUGUAUAUUUAUGAAAAAUAUGUUGUUUAUAUAUUAAAUAUAUUUAUAUAAUAUAAAUUAUAUGAAUAUAAAUAUAUGCAUGUAAAUAUUUUCUAAAUAUAUAUGGUAUGUGUGUCUCACAGUACACACACACAUUAUGUACACAAAAACUUUUAUUUUGAAUGCAAUUAAACAUGAUGAAUCAUUUUUUUUUUAGAUUACCUUUAUCCUGCAUUCAUGUUAGUGUUGAUGGAUUUUGCCCACCUAAAUCUGAGUUGCAUUUGAGGACGAAGGUAUCUGUGGUUAGACGGAAAUGGGGGAAAUGACUCAGACGGCACCCUUGAGGAAGAUGAGUGUACAGAGGCCUAGGAAUACUCUUUCUCCGAUUUCAUUUCUGAUGUUCCAUCUGAGCUGCUGCAGUAAUAGUUUCAUAGAGAAGGUAUAAGGCUCUUACUUUAUCAAGCUCAGCAAACAUUCAUGAGUUGGCCGUUGUGUGCUUAAGAUUUUGUGUAUUUGCAUAUAUCUAUCCAAGGACAGUUUUUACAUUGCAGUGUAAUACUUGGAUCCCCUUUACUUUUCAAAAGAUUUUACAUUGUAAUAUUUCACUAUAUAACUGUUUUACUGUAUUUUUACAGUAUUGUGUUCAACUAAAUGCAAGCUUGGUGAGACUUCUUUCAAAAACUUAAAAAAAUAAAAUAAAAUCGUACCAACCAUGUGCUUACUAACCACAGCUUAUACGCCAUGUGCUUUAGUUAUUAGUAACACAAAAACAUAUCAGUUGAUCGCAUUCAAAUUUAUAUUUACACUCAAACUAUGGCUCAAAUUAACAAGAAGAAACUAGACAGCACUGUCCCACAUAACACAUCUUCGUAUUGUAUUUUAAAAAGAAAGAAAAAAAUCUCUGGAGAUCCCUGAAUGCAGUAAAAUGUUUUUUUUUUUUUUCUCUCUCUCGUUGUGUUGGGGAUAGUUGGCAGAGUAGACAUGAAAAUACAGGUGUACAGACUCAAUUUUCAGCUUGCCUUUUCAUUACUUGGGGAAACCUGACGCUGGGUAGUAUAUCAAACUGUCACUGUGAGUCGUCUGUUUGCCUGUCUGAUUUCAGGGCAGAUGCAGUUGAGAAAAUUUGGGGCAGAGCUCCCGGCCCUUAUUUUAUCAUUGUGAUGAAAGAGAGCAGAAAACUUGCUCUGUGCUGUUGUCAUUGAAUGCCCCAAACACACUUGUAUUCUCAAGGAAAUACCACCCGCUAUUACCCCAAAACUUCUGCAAAACAAGUUCUGCUCAUUUAAGAGUAGUCUACUUCAGAUAACUUACUCAGAUUGCCUGGUGGUGUGUAACUUUCAGUACUUUGCAUCUGUUACUUUUUUCCCCAAGAGAAAAUAAUCUCAUUUAAUCACAUUAGUGAUGAUUAUUUCAGGUAAAAUGUUAUAAAUUUGCAUUGGCAUCUGGAAGAUCGCAUUCAUUUUCUCCAUGCAUUAUAGUGUAUGUUUCUGUAGAAGCUGUAAGUCAGUGCUAUUUGAAUUAAGCAACAUCAAACAGUACAACAGUAUAGUUAUGAGUGUGAUAUUGCUUUUAUACAACAUUUAUACAUGAAAGUUUAAAUCAGUUUGUACUGAUUACAGUGUUAUUAGACUUUAGCCAUGUAUCUAUUUAUAAGCAACUGAAAAAAGCACAAAAGUCAGGGGAUGUCAAAAUUUCUCCAGGCCCCCAAAACCCCCUAGACCUCAGAGGGUUAAUACUGAGUAACUUACAUUUAGACAAAAUAGACAAAGUGCACUACUGCCAUCUGUGAUUGAAACAUAAAAUUACAAGUUAUUGGUACUUGCAUUUCUUGUUUUAUGUCAGCUGUGCUUUGUAUGCAUGUGUACACAGAUUUUGUACCUUUGUCAUUUUUUUGGUAUAAUUUGCUUCUAAUCAAAUGUUUUGUUGUGAUUCAUUUUGGAACUGUUUAGUUUAAGGGCUUUGAACGCUAUUUUAUGCCUAUUGAGUAAAUUAAUGUAUAUAUUAUAACAUAUUUGGAACCACUUUAAAAAGGGUGAUUAUUGGUGUAUUUACAUAUAUUGAUUCAACAGACACUUUUAUCUGAAGCAUCUUUGGAUAGCACAUGGAGACAACCGUUUUAGUAGCGCUACAAUUCUGAAUUUCUAUAGUAAACUAGAAUAGAUUUUAAUUGUUAUUGAAACUAGUUUAACCUUUAUUAAUCCUUAAGCAGAGUUAAUGGAAGUGAAGUGGAGGGGGCGGCUGUUGAGAUGAGCAUGUGAUGUGGAUAGUGAGGAUUAUCUGGUUUAACAAGUGCUCAAUACAUAGUUCUUAGCUAACUUAACUGCCGUUCCCAUUGUUGAAUCCGGUUGUACAUUGAUGUUGGGGUUAACUGAUAGACUUGUUGAGAUGAUAAAGAGUUCUCUCUUUGCAAGAUUAAGCUGAAUUUGCAGAUGUCUGAGUGGAAGGUUAAAUAGCUUUCCCGGUCUUCAGGCUGGGACUAUAUGUAGCAGUAUUAGUGAGAAGCUGUGUGGCUUUAUAUUUGGUCCAGUGAGGUUGUGCAUAUUGAGAAGAAGAGGGGGCCAAGCACUGAACCCUGAGGCACCCCAGUAUUUAGCUAAUUAAAAUCUUAAUGGAUUUGCCUUUUGAGGUGAGACUCAAGACAGCAAGUUCCAGUUAUUGUAAUGCCCAUUCUAGAGAAGAUAGAGUGGAGUAUCUGGGGGCAGGCUGUCCCCAGUUAGAUGUAAAAAAAAAAAAAAAAAAGUUGGAUGUAAGCCCUAUAGCUGAGUUUAUCUACAUCCAUCUUAGCUACAUCUAGCUUUCUGAUAAAUAUUUACACCUGUUGCACCAACUAAAUCUAUGACCCAGAAGUAAUUACACCCCAGCAUAGGGUGUGGGGAGACGCUAUUCACACUGCAAUCUAUGACCUAGAGUAAUUACACCCAGCAUAGGUGUGGGAGACGCUAUUCACACUGCAAUGGCUACAAUUACUAAUAAUAAUGAACUGAAUUGCUCAAG